rnacentral:tRNA from 1 species
GCCAGCAUGUCUCAGUGGUUUGAGUGUUGGACUAUGCCUCUGGAAACCAGGGUUCGAUUUCCUGCUCAGUCA